CGAUGAGUAGGGCGGGACACGUGGUAUCCUGUCUGAAUAUGGGGGGACCAUCCUCCAAGGCUAAAUACUCCUGACUGACCGAUAGUGAACCAGUACCGUGAGGGAAAGGCGAAAAGAACCCCGGCGAGGGGAGUGAAAAAGAACCUGAAACCGUGUACGUACAAGCAGUGGGAGCACCCUUUGGGGUGUGACUGCGUACCUUUUGUAUAAUGGGUCAGCGACUUAUAUUCUGUAGCAAGGUUAACCGAAUAGGGGAGCCGGAGGGAAACCGAGUCUUAACCGGGCGUUAAGUUGCAGGGUAUAGACCCGAAACCCGGUGAUCUAGCCAUGGGCAGGUUGAAGGUUGGGUAACACUAACUGGAGGACCGAACCGACUAAUGUUGAAAAAUUAGCGGAUGACCUGUGGCUGGGGGUGAAAGGCCAAUCAAACCGGGAGAUAGCUGGUUCUCCCCGAAAGCUAUUUAGGUAGCGCCUCGUGAAUUCAUCUCCGGGGGUAGAGCACUGUUUCGGCUAGGGGGCCAUCCCGGCUUACCAACCCGAUGCAAACUGCGAAUACCGGAGAAUGUUAUCACGGGAGACACACGGCGGGUGCUAACGUCCGUCGUGAAGAGGGAAACAACCCAGACCGCCAGCUAAGGUCCCAAAGUCAUGGUUAAGUGGGAAACGAUGUGGGAAGGCCCAGACAGCCAGGAUGUUGGCUUAGAAGCAGCCAUCAUUUAAAGAAAGCGUAAUAGCUCACUGGUCGAGUCGGCCUGCGCGGAAGAUGUAACGGGGCUAAACCAU
rnacentral:rRNA from 1 species